AGCCGAAACCUCCGGGAGGAGGUCGGCCGGGGGUGGCGCCCCGGUCCUGACGAUGGCAGCCAGAC
rnacentral:hammerhead_ribozyme from 1 species